GAUGAACGCUGGCGGUAUGCCUAACACAUGCAAGUCGUACGAGGGUUUUUAACUCUAGUGGCGGACGGGUGAGUAACACGUGAGAAUUUGCCUUUAGGAGGGGGAUAACAAUCGGAAACGAAUGCUAAUACCCCAUAUGCUUUUGAGUGAAAUGGAUUUAUCCGCCUAAAGAGAAGCUCGCGGCUGAUUAGCUUGUUGGUAAGGUAAGAGCUUACCAAGGCGACGAUCAGUAUCUGGUUUGAGAGGACGAUCAGACACACUGGAACUGAGACACGGUCCAGACUCCUACGGGAGGCAGCAGUGGGGAAUUUUCCGCAAUGGGCGAAAGCCUGACGGAGCAAUACCGCGUGAGGGAAGACUGCCUAUGGGUUGUAAACCNCUUUUUUCAGGGAGGAAUAAAAUGACGUGUACCUGAAGAAUAAGCAUCGGCUAACUCCGUG
rnacentral:rRNA from 1 species